rnacentral:rRNA from 1 species
AUUGAACGCUGGCGACAUGCCUUACACAUGCAAGUCGAACGGCAGCACGGGUGCUUGCACCUGGUGGCGAGUGGCGAACGGGUGAGUAAUACAUCGGAACAUGUCCUGUAGUGGGGGAUAGCCCGGCGAAAGCCGGAUUAAUACCGCAUACGAUCUACGGAUGAAAGCGGGGGCCCUUCGGGCCUCGCGCUAUAGGGUUGGCCGAUGGCUGAUUAGCUAGUUGGUGGGGUAAAGGCCUACCAAGGCGACGAUCAGUAGCUGGUCUGAGAGGACGACCAGCCACACUGGGACUGAGACACGGCCCAGACUCCUACGGGAGGCAGCAGUGGGGAAUUUUGGACAAAGGGCGAAAGCCUGAUCCAGCAAUGCCGCGUGUGUGAAGAAGGCCUUCGGGUUGUAAAGCACUUUUGUCCGGAAAGAAAUCCUUGGCCCUAAUACGGUCGGGGGAUGACGGUACCGGAAGAAUAAGCACCGGCUAACUACGUG